rfam:Ricinus communis cultivar Hale ctg_1100012360495, whole genome shotgun sequence.
AAUCCAUGAUAUGGGCCAAAUCGAAGCAAGUCCUUGUACCUCUCCUAGGCAUCACACAUGCUCUCGUCAUCGAACUACAUAAAAGAAGAUAUGUCAUUUCUCAAUGU